UAAGGAAUAUUGCUCAAUGGGAGAAAUCCUGAAGCAGCAACGCCGCGUGGAGGAUGAAGGGUCUAUGACUUGUAAACUCCUGUAAAGAAGGAAAAAAUUCCCAUUAGAUGGGAGAUGAUGGUACUUCUGGAGUAAGCCCCGGCUAACUACGUGCCAGCAGCCGCGGUAAUACGUAGGGGGCAAGCGUUGUCCGGAUUUACUGGGUGUAAAGGGUGCUCAGGCGGAUUUGUAAGUCAGAGGUGAAAUCUUACAGCUUAACUGUGAAACUGCCUGUGAUACUGCAAGCCUAGAGUAUGGAAGAGAGUGAUGGAAUAUCUGGUGUAGCAGUGAAAUGCGUAGAUAUCAGAUAGAACACCAAUGGCGAAGGCAGUCACUUGGUCCAUUACUGACGCUAAAGCACGAAAGCGUGGGUAGCAAACA
rnacentral:rRNA from 1 species